AGUGAACGCUGGCGGUAGGCCUAACACAUGCAAGUCGAACGGCAGCACAGUAAGAGCUUGCUCUUACGGGUGGCGAGUGGCGGACGGGUGAGGAAUACAUCGGAAUCUACUUUUUCGUGGGGGAUAACGUAGGGAAACUUACGCUAAUACCGCAUACGACCUACGGGUGAAAGCAGGGGAUCUUCGGACCUUGCGCGAUUGAAUGAGCCGAUGUCGGAUUAGCUAGUUGGCGGGGUAAAGGCCCACCAAGGCGACGAUCCGUAGCUGGUCUGAGAGGAUGAUCAGCCACACUGGAACUGAGACACGGUCCAGACUCCUAAGGGAGGCAGCAGUGGGGAAUAUUGGACAAUGGGCGCAAGCCUGAUCCAGCCAUACCGCGUGGGUGAAGAAGGCCUUCGGGUUGUAAAGCCCUUUUGUUGGGAAAGAAAAGCAGGAGGUUAAUACCCCGCUGUUCUGACGGUACCCAAAGAAUAAGCACCGGCUAACUUCGUG
rnacentral:rRNA from 1 species